rnacentral:lncRNA from 1 species
GUUGGAGUGUAAACAAAGUCCCACAUUGAGUGAAAGAAAGACUGGUCAAGGGUUUAUAUACACAUAGAUAUCUCCAAUGGUAAGAGGCCUUUUGGAGUGGUACCAAAAGCAAACCCGUGAGGGCUUGGCCCAAAGCGGACAAUGUCUUACCAUGUGUGGAGUUCUAUGUGUGUGUCGAACCUCCCCCCAAUAGUGGUAU